GUAAAAACAAAAAAAGGAUUCACUUCGUUUUUGCAUGUGCCGACUUUUUUAUUUCUCCUUCAUCAAACCAAAUUUUCAAGAGAACCCUCUCCGAUUCAAUUCACCAAGAUUUAGGUAUUUUUCUUGAAUUCACCAACAUGUCAAACUCUCGCCAGAAAAUCAUCUAUUUCGAAGAAGGAUGGAAUUUUGUGCAGAAAGGCAUCAAGAAGCUUCAGAACAAUCUAGAAGGCUUGCCUGGACCUUCCUUAACUUCUGUAGAUCACACCUUGUUGUAUACGACCGUCUUCAAUAUGUGCACUAACAAGCCUCCUCAUGAUUAUUCGCAAGAACUGUAUAUAAAGUACAAGGAAACAUUUGAAGAUUACAUCAAAACAACGGU